rnacentral:lncRNA from 1 species
GGCAGGAGAAAAAGUCAAGUUAACCCUGCCCAUCGCUCAAUGGCUCAAUCGCAUCGCUCUCCCGGCAACACCGUAAGGAGGAGCAACCUGCCAUUUGGAUAUAUCCUAGCUGUGUUUGUGCCCUCACUCAUGGUCCAGACUUUUUUCAAAUAGGACAUGAAGUUUGUCUGCAGCGAGUGUUUUGGUAGAAACUGUGCCUCCCAUUCAUUAUAAUGGGAAAUGACCACAGACAAGUGCGCACACCAUCUUUGGACCUUGAGUGUGACGCGAUCGGGAGGGGGAGGCGGUCGCGCUGGGGGCGGCGCGACGCGGCUCGGGCCCGACAGUGCCCCACCGGGGCCCUAGUUUGUUAUUAUUUUUCCUCCGCUUUAAACUGGAAAAUGGCCCACUUCCCACUAGCGAAAACUCAGGAAAUUUGGCAGGACGACCGGGCCUCGUGAAUAAUUUGAUAUUCUGAAGUCGCCCAAACAAUAAAAUGCAAAAUGGCUCCAUAGCGCCCCCUAAGGUGAAAAUUCACAUGACGGCUGUACGCUUUGUCAUAUUGACACAAAAAUUGACACACAAAUGUAUCUCAAUAAGAUCUACAAAAAAGUCAGUACGGGCGUAUCUGUCAAAUGUACGGUUAAUGGGUUAUUUUGCAUUUUUUGCAGAUCUGCACACAUUGGAAUUUCGCUAACUCCUCUGAAGGCUUUCGUUCGACCGGCACCACAUUUGCUCAGGCCAAUCUACCCCCCAUGGCCAUUAAAAGUUAUUCAAAUCAUGACGCUGCACCCCACGGUUUACGUUCUAGGGGGCGCCAGAGAUAACCCAAAAAUCCACAUUCUUAAAAGUCUUAUAACUUUUUACUUUUGUCCUCACUGGCCUCCAAGUUUUCUAGGAUGAUGCAAUGUCCAGCCAUCAACACAUUUGUGAAGGAAUUUUUACUCCCCAAAAGAGCGCCCCCCAAUGGCAGGAGAAAAAGGUCCAUUUUUUCUUGUCUCCUAAGGUGAAAAUACACAUUGUCGAGUGUCACGCCUGUAUGCUUUGUCAUAUUGACACAAAAUUUGACAAUCACGUGUAUCUCAAUAAGAUCUACGAAAAAGUCAAAGGGCAUGUAUCUGUCAAAUGUACGGUUAAAGGGCUAUUUUGCAUUUUUUGCCGAUCCGCACACAUUUGAAUUUCGCUAACUCCUCCGAAGGCUAUCUUUCCACCGGCACCAAAUUUGCUCAGGCCAAUCUACACCCCAUGGCCAUUAAAAGUUGUACAAAUCAUCUUGCUGCACCUCACGGUUUGGGUUCUAGGGGGCACCAAAUAUAACCCAAAAAUCCACAUUCUUAAAAGUCUUUUAACUUUUUAUUUUUUUCCAUACUGGCCUCCAAGUUUUUUAGGAUGAUGCAAUGUCCAGCCAUCAACACAUUUGUGAAGAAAUUUUUACUCCCCAAAAGAGCGCCCCCCCAUGGCAGGAGAAAAAAGUCCAUUUUUUCUUAUCCCGAAAGGUGAAAAUACACGUUGUUGAGUGUCAUGCCUUUACGCUUUGUCAUAUUGACAAAAAAUUUGACUAUCACGUGUAUCUCAAUAAGAUUUAUGAAAAAGUCAAUGGGCACGUAAGUGUAAAAUGUACAGUUAAAGGGCUAUUUUGCAUUUUUUGGCGAUUCGCACACAUUGGAAUUUCGCUAAGUCCUCCUAAGGCUUUCGUCCCACUGACACCAAAUUUGCUCAGGCCAAUCUACACUCCAUGGCCAUUCAAAGUUGUAAAAAUCAUGACGCUGCACCCCACGGUUUACGUUUUAGGGGGCGCCAAAGAUGACCCAAAUAUUCAUUACAGUAGACAAAGUAGUUUUGCCCACUGAGUGGCGCCAAAGGGACUUGUCUGUGGAGUCUGUGAGUCACUAUUGGCCGUUUUUGACUACUUUAGAUUUUACCUUUAUAUUUCCUCUUACAAAAUUUUUACCUUGCCUUGCCUGGUAUCAUUUUUUUCAGCACAACCUCACCUGUGUCAAUUUACAGUUAUUUUAUCAUUUUGACAUACUAUAUUUACACAUUGGACCCAAAUUCACACACAAAACAUAAAAUCCGAGUGGAAAAAAGUAACGUUUUUACUGUGAAAACCACAAAUAUGUGUGAUGAACUGUUUUUAAAACUUAAACUUCAAAUAAAAAUUGUAAACUUCAAAACAUAUGCAAAUUUUUAACAAAGAACAUAGUAAUUUACCUCUAUUUACAUCAAAAUGCAGGCAAUGGCCCAGGCGUUCUUUGUAAAAUUAUUUACAAAACACUGUAUAGUCUCACAAAUGUCACUUUUUAUUUAUGCCACUACAAAAAAACAUGAUGUAAAUGAUGCAUGAUGUAAAACAUGAUGUAAAAAACUUGUGUAGAUCCUCCUCUAUGUCAGUCCAUGUGUAAUUUUUCCAUAAUUCUUUGUUUUUUGCAGCAUUUUUGUUAGUGUAACUGCAGAUUGUGCUGACAGUGUCUAUGGCACAAAAAAAAAAAAAAACUGAAAAUGCCUCAACAUGAACCCCUGGUGGUCUCUGAGGGUGAAACCUGCUAACUGCUGCAGCUCUGUCAGCUUCAGUCUCCCAUGCAGAGCUCGGAGCGCAUGUGUGGCUCUGCACCCUUAGCAGCGUUGCUAACUCCUCAGUAAGGAAAGCCUGCUUCAUGUCAGAGUCUCUAAACUCCAGAAGAAGUCGAUAAAAGUCCCUUUCUUUCUAAGAAAAAGUCGUUAGGGGGUCUGAAAAGUCAUUGAAUCUAACAACAAAGUCGCUAGGUUUGCAACUACGUGUCCCAGACUGCAUCCCUGCUGAGAGUCCCUCCCUCCCUUCUCAUAUUGCAGGAAGAACGUAAGCGCCCGCCCCUUGUCAAUCAGUCACCAUAUAAUUUUGGAUUGGUUGUUGUGGUGAAGUUUUCCACCAAUAGGAGAGAUGUUGUGGUGUGUUUUUUUCCUUUGGCAAGCCUUUUCUGCCUGUAAGACCUGUCGCUAAUGUCUGCAUGCUAUGUUUUCCUGUCUCAUACAGCGCGAUCGAGCGCCGAACGUGAUCAAAAUAAGCAGAAAAAAAGUAUUGCGGACAUAAUUUAUCAUAACUCUGGUUUUAUUUGGCCUAUCAACACAAUUUAAAAACUGGUAUAUAGGUUGAGGUCCUCACUUUUGAGAUAAGUUGAAACGGAGAGUCAACGAGGCUCCGUCUUGCAGCUACAUCCGGUUAAAUAUGUCAUGUGACUUGAACGCACACACACACACACACACGCACACACACACACACACACACACUCAGAGUCUGGUUUUUAGCACCUGCAAAAACAUGCUAUUUACAUAUUUGACAAGAAUGCAGAGGCUCCUUUUGCCCCUGAAAAAAUCAAAUUUCAAACACAACUUGACUGGUCAUUUCUCCAAAAGACAACCAUGAAGCUCCAUCCAAACCUGAAGCAGGCAGUUGGUGCAUGUGUACAAUAACCUGAGGGGAGUGAGGUGACUGCUUCUGAGGAGAACAUGAGCAGUGAAGAUUCACCUUGGAGCUAGAACAGAGACGGGCACAUGAUUAUACAGGGGCAGGGCAGCUGCGAGAGCCCUCUUGUUCCUGCAUGUUUCCUUCUUUUUAGGGCCCGAGCGUAGCUGCUAAGCAGCUGCGAGAGCCCUCUUGUUCCUGAUGGAUUCUUCUUUAGGGCCCGAGCGUAGCUGCUAAGCAGCUGCGAGAGCCCUCUUGUUCCUGCAUGUUUCCUUCUUUAGGGCCCGAGCGUAGCUGCUAAGCAGCUGCGAGAGCCCUCUUGUUCCUGAUGGAUUCUUCUUUUGUUAUUAUUAUUAGGGCCCGAGCGUAGCUGCUAAGCAGCUGCGAGAGCCCUAUUAUUCCCCAAGUGGUUUUUCUUUGUUUCUUUAGGGCCCGAGCGUAGCUGCUAAGCAGCUGCGAGAGCCCUCUUGUUCCUGCAUGUUUCCUUCUUUUGUUAUUAUUAUUAUUAGGGCCCGAGCGUAGCUGCUAAGCAGCUGCGAGAGCCCUCUUGUUCCUGCAUGUUUCCUUCUUUUGUUAUUAUUAUUAGGGCCCGAGCGUAGCUGCUAAGCAGCUGCGAGAGCCCUAUUAUUCCCCAAGUGGUUUUUCUUUGUUUCUUUCUUUCUUUCUUUCUUUCUUUCUUUCUUUCUUCUUUUUCCUCCCCUUUGAACUGGAAAAUGGCCCACUUCCCACUGGCGAAAACUCAUGAAAUUUGGCAGGACGACCGGGCCUGGUGAAAAAUUCGAUAUUCUGAAGUCGCCCAAACAAUAAAAUGCAAAAUGGCUCCAUAGCGCCCCCUAAUUAUUAUUAUUUUUCCUCCCCUUUGAACUGGAAAAUGGCCCACUUCCCACUGGCGAAAACUCAUGAAAUUUGGCAGGACGACCGGGCCUGGUGAAAAAUUUGAUAUUCUGAAGUCGCCCAAACAAUAAAAUGCAAAAUGGCUCCAUAGCGCCCCCUAAGGUGAAAAUUCACACUAUUGACUGUCACGCCUGUACGCUUUGUCAAAAUGACACAAAAAUUGACACACACAUGUAUCUCAAUAAGAUCUACAAAAAAGUCAGUGCGGGCGUAUCUGUCAAAUUUACGGUUAAAGGGUUAUUUCGCAUUUUUUGCCGAUCCGCACACAUUGGAAUUUCGCUAACUCCUCCGAAGGCUUUCGUUCCACCGGCACCACAUUUGCUCAGGCCAAUCUACACCCCAUGGCCAUUAAAAGUUAUUCAAAUCAUGACGCUGCACCCCAAGGUUUAGGUUCUAGGGGGCGCCAAAAAUAACACUAAAAUCCACAUAUUUAAAAGUCUUAUAACUUUUUAUUUUUGCCCUCACUGGCCUCCAAGUUUUCUAGGAUGAUGCAAUGUCCAGCCAUCAACACAUUUGUGAAGGAAUUUUUAAUCCCCAAAAGAGCGCCCCCACAUGGCAGGAGAAGAAAGUCCAUUUUUUCUUGUCCCCUAAGGUGAAAAUACACAUUGUUGAGUGUCACGCCUGUACGCUUUGUCAUAUUGACACAAAAUUUGACACACACAUGUAUCUCAAUAAGAUCUACGAAAAAGUCAAUGCACGCGUAUCUGUCAAAUGUACGGUUAAAGGGUUAUUCCGCAUUUUUUGCUGAUCCGCACACAUUGGAAUUUCGCUAACUCCUCCUAAGGCUGGCGUUCCACCGGCACCACAUUUGCUCAGGCCAAUCUACACCCCAUGGCCAUUAAAAGUUAUUCAAAUCAUGACGCUGCACCCCACGGUUUAGGUUCUAGGGGGCGCCAAAGAUAACCCUAAAAUCCACAUAUUUCAAAGUCUUAUAACUUUUUAUUUUUGUCCUCACUGGCCUCCAAGUUUUCUAGGAUGAUGCAAUGUCCAGCCAUCAACACAUUUGUGAAGGAAUUUUUACUCCCCAAAAGAGCGCCCCCCCCCAUGGCAGGAGAAAAAAGUCCAUUUUUUCUUGUCCCAUAAGGUGAAAAAACACAUUGUUGACUGUCAUACCUGUACGCUUUGUCAUAUUGACACAAAAUUUGACAAUCAUGUGUAUCUCAAUUAGAUCUACGAAAAAGUCAAAGAGCGCGUAUCUGUAUAAUGUACGGUUAAAGGGCUAUUUUGCAUUUUUUGCCGAUUCGCACACAUUGGAAUGUGGCUAUCUCCUCCUAAGGCUUUCGUCCCACCGAUACCAAAUUUGCUCAGGGCAAUCUACACCCCAUGCCCAUUCAAAGUUGUAAAAAUCAUGACGCUGCACCCCACGGUUUACGUUCUAGGGGGCGCCAAAGAUGACCCAAAAAUCCACAUUCUUAAAAGUCAUUUUGGCCAUUGCAGGAGUACAGAGUACUGCAGUUCUAGGGGGCGCCAAAGAUGACCCAAAAAUCCACAUUCUUAAAAGUCUUUUUGGCCACUGCAGGAGUACAGAGUACUGCAGGAUACACACACAUAUACACACACGCCAACAUACACACACACACACACACACACACACACACACACACACACACACACACACACACACACACACUCAGAGUCUGUUUUUUAGCACCUGCAAAAACAUGCUGUUACAUAUUUGACAAGAAUGCAGAGGCUUCCUUUUGCCCCUGAAAAAAAUCAAAUUUCAAACACAACUUGACUGUUCAUUUCUCCAAAAGACAACCAUGAAGCUCCAUUUCAAACCUGAAGCAGAUAGUUGGUGCAUGUGUACAGUAACCUGAGGGGAGUGAGGUGACUAUUUCUGAGGAGAACAUGAGCAGUGAAGAUUCACCUUGGAGCUAGAACAGAGACAUGCACAUGAUUAUACAGGGGCAGGGGCUCAAGUUUUUUCCAGUCGUUUAUACAAUAUGGAAAUUAAUGUGAAAUUAAAACACAAAGUAUUAAUAGAAAGGUAAUGACUGUCCUGUGUAGGUGACAGUGAUAUCCAAUAGGCUAGGCACUCACGAGGCUGGCUGUGGCAAGUGUAAGUGAAAGCAACACGCACUGGCAGGAAGAACAGCAAACGCCGAUGAAGGAAAAGGGUCUUUGCAGUGAUGGGCGUUACCAGAGAGGGCGAUGGCCAGAGGACACAAAUGGGACGGGGAGGCAGCGCGUUGGGGGGGGGGCGACACGGCUCGGGCCCGCCAGUGCCCCAACGGGGUCCUAGUUAUUAUUUUUCCUCCCCUUUGAACUGGAAAAUGGCCCACUUCCCACUGGCGAAAACUCAUGAAAUUUGGCAGGACGACUGGGCCUGGUGAAAAAUUUGAUAUUCCGAAGUCGCCCAAACAAGAAAAUGCAAAAUGGCUCCAUAGCGCCCCCUAAGGUGAAAAUUCACACUAUUGACUGUCACGCCUGUACGCUUUGUCAAAAUGACACAAAAAUUGACACACACAUGUAUCUCAAUAAGAUCUACAAAAAAGUCAGUGCGGGCGUAUCUGUCAAAUGUACGGUUAAAGGGUUAUUUCGCAUUUUUUGCCGAUCCGCACACAUUGGAAUUUCGCUAACUGCUCCGAAGGCUUUCGUUCCACCGGCACCACAUAUGCUCAGGCCAAUCUACACCCCAUGGCCAUUAAAAGUUAUUCAAAUCAUGACGCUGCACCCCACGGUUUAGGUUCUAGGGGGCGCCAAAGAUAACCCUAAGAUCCACAUAUUUAAAAGUCUUAUAACUUUUUAUUUUUGCCCUCACUGGCCUCCAAGUUUUCUAGGAUGAUGCAAUGUCCAGCCAUCAACACAUUUGUGAAGGAAUUUUUACUCCACAAAAGAGCGCCCCCCCAUGGCAGGAGAAAAAAGUCCAUUUUUUCUUGUCCCCUAAGGUGAAAAUACACAUUGUUGAGUGUAACACCUGUACGCUUUGGCAAAAUGACACCAAAAUUGAGACACACAUGUAUCUCAAUAAGAUCUACAAAAAAGUCAAUGCGCACGUAUCUGUCAAAUGUACGGUUAAAGGGUUAUUCCGCAUUUUUUGCCGAUCCGCACACAUUGGAAUUUCGCUAACUCCUCCGAAGGCUUUCGUUCCACCGGCACCACAUUUUCUCAGGCCAAUCUACACCCCAUGGCCAUUAAAAGUUAUUCAAAUCAUGACGCUGCACCCCACGGUUUAGGUUCUAGGGGGCGCCAAAGAUAACCGUAAAAUCCACAUAUUUAAAAGUCUUAUAACUUUUUAUUUUUGUCCCCACUGGCCUCCAAGUUUUCUAGGAUGAUGCAAUGUCCAGCCAUCAACACAUUUGUGAAGGAAUUUUUACUCGCCAAAAGAGCGCCCCCCCAUGGCAGGAGAAAAAAGUCCAUUUUUUCUUGUCCACUAAGGUGAAAAUACACAUUGUUGAGUGCUACGCCUGUAUGUUUUGUUGUAUUGACACAAAAUUUUACAUACACGUGUCUUUCAAUAAGAUCUUCAAAAAAGUCAAUGGCCACGUAUCUGUAAAAUGUACGGUUAAAGGGUUAUUUCGCAUUUUUUGCAGAUUCGCACACAUUGGAAUUUCGCUAACUCCUCCGAAGGCUUUCGUUCCACCGGCACCACAUUUGCUCAGGCCAAUCUACACCCCAUGGCCAUUAAAAGUUAUUCAAAUCAUGACGCUGCACCCCACGGUUUAGGUUCUAGGGGGCGCCAAAGAUAACCCUAAAAUCCACAUAUUUAAAAGUCUUAUAACUUUUUAUUUUUGUCCUCACUGGCCUCCAUGUUUUCUAGGAUGAUGCAAUGUCCAGCCAUCAACACAUUUGUGAAGGAGUUUUUUCUCGUUAAAAGAGCGCCCCCCCCAUGGCAGGAGAAUAAAGUCAAGUUUUUCCUGUUCAUCAUUCAAUGGCUCAAACGCACUGCUCUCUCGGCAAAAGCGAAAGGAGGAGCAACUUGCCAUUUGGAUAUAUCUUAGCUGUGUUUUUGCCCUCACUCAUGGUCCAGACUUUUUUCAAAUAGGACAUGGAGUUUUUCUGCAGCGAGCGUUUUGGUAGAAACUGCGCCUCCCGUUCAUUAUAAUGGUAAAUGACCACAAACAAGUGCGCACACCAUCUUUGGACCUUGAGUGUGACGCGAUCGGGUGGGGGAGGCGGUCGCGCUGGGGGCGGCGCAACGCGGCUCGGGCCCGACAGUGCCCCACCGGGGCCCUAGUUAUUAUUUUUCCUCCCCUUUGAACUGGAAAAUGGCCCACUUCCCACUGGCGAAAACUCAUGAAAUUUGGCAGGACGACCGGGCCUGGUGAAAAAUUUGAUAUUCCGAAGUCGCCCAAACAAGAAAAUGCAAAAUGGCUCCAUAGCGCCCCCUAAGGUGAAAAUUCACACUAUUCACUGUCACGCCGGUACGCUUUGUCAAAAUGACACAAAAAUUGACACACACAUGUAUCUCAAUAAGAUCUACAAAAAAGUCAGUGCGGGCGUAUCUGUCAAAUGUACGGUUAAAGGGUUAUUCCGCAUUUUUUGCUGAUCCGCACACAUUGGAAUUUCGCUAACUCCUCCGAAGGCUUUCGUUCCACCGGCACCACAUUUGCUCAGGCCAAUCUACACCCCAUGGCCAUUAAAAGUUAUUCAAAUCAUGACGCUGCACCCCACGGUUUAGGUUCUAGGGGGCGCCAAAGAUAACCCUAAAAUCCACAUAUUUCAAAGUCUUAUAACUUUUUAUUUUUGUCCUCACUGGCCUCCAAGUUUUCUAGGAUGAUGCAAUGUCCAGCCAUCAACACAUUUGUGAAGGAAUUUUUACUCCCCAAAAGAGCGCCCCCCCAUGGCAGGAGAAAAAAGUCCAUUUUUUCUUGUCCCGUAAGGUGAAAAUUCACAUUGUUGAGUGUGACACCUGUACGCUUUGUCAU